rnacentral:tRNA from 1 species
CGGGAUGGAGCUCAGUAGUAGAGUGAUUGCUAAGCAUGCAUGAGGACCUGGGUUCAAUUCCCAGCAUCACAC